GACGAACGCUGGCGGCGUGCUUAACACAUGCAAGUCGAGCGGAGCGGCGAACGGGUGAGUACCGCGUGAGUAACUGCCCCCCUCUCUGGGAUAACAGUUGGAAACGGCUGCUAAUACCGGAUAGUGGGGGAUGACUCGCGUCCUAUCAGCUUGUUGGUGGGGUAGUGGCCUACCAAGGCGACGACGGGUAGCCGGCCUGAGAGGGCGACCGGCCACAGUGGGCGGAGACACGGUCCAGACGCCUACGGGAGGCAGCAGUGGGGAAUAUUGGACAAUGGGCGAAAGCCUGAUCCAGCCAUGCCGCGUGUGUGAAGAAGGUCUUCGGAUUGUAAAGCACUUUCAGCCAUGACGCGGUAGUGGCAGAAGAAGCACCGGCUAACUACGUGCCAGCAGCCGCGGUAAUAC
rnacentral:rRNA from 1 species